rnacentral:rRNA from 1 species
UCAGAUUGAACGCUGGCGGCAUGCCUUACACAUGCAAGUCGAACGGCAGCACGGGAGCAAUCCUGGUGGCGAGUGGCGAACGGGUGAGUAAUAUAUCGGAACGUGCCCAGUCGUGGGGGAUAACGCAGCGAAAGCUGUGCUAAUACCGCAUACGAUCUCUGGAUGAAAGCGGGGGGCCUUCGGGCCUCGCGCGAUUGGAGCGGCCGAUAUCAGAUUAGCUAGUUGGUGGGGUAAAAGCCCACCAAGGCGACGAUCUGUAGCUGGUCUGAGAGGACGACCAGCC